AACGAACGCUGGCGGCAGGCCUAACACAUGCAAGUCGAGCGAAGCCUUCGGGCUUAGCGGCGGACGGGUGAGUAACGCGUGGGAACGUGCCCUUUGGUACGGAAUAGCCCCGGGAAACUGGGAGUAAUACCGUAUGUGGUCGAGAGACGAAAGAUUUAUCGCCAAAGGAUCGGCCCGCGUUGGAUUAGGUAGUUGGUGGGGUAAUGGCCUACCAAGCCGACGAUCCAUAGCUGGUUUGAGAGGAGGAUCAUCCACACUGGGACUGAGACACGGCCCGGACUCCGACGGGAGGAAGCAGUGGGGAAUCUUAGACAAUGGGGGAAACCCUGAUCUAGCCAUGCCGCGUGAUCGAUGAAGGCCUUAGGGUUGUAAAGAUCUUUCAGUGGGGAAGAUAAUGACUGUACCCACAGAAGAAGCCCCGGCUAACUCCGUGCCAGCCGCCGCCGUAAAAC
rnacentral:rRNA from 1 species